UGCAUCGGUCAAUUGCUGCAAUUAAAUUGUAGAGGAAAGUCCGCGCUAGCACUAUCUGAGAUGAUAGUAGUGUUCAUGUUGGAUCUAAUAAAUCCAAGCCUAGACGACAAGUGCCACAGAGACGAGCUUAUUUAAUUAAGGUGAAACGCGGUAAACUCCAUGAGCUAGAAACCCAAAUAAAGGUAGGGGAACUUUAUUUUUAGAAAUGAAUAAAAAUAGAGAGAUUUUUAUAAAUCUAGAUAAAUAAUUGACGCUUUUUUAAAGUACAGAACGCGGCUUAUAGAU
rnacentral:RNase_P_RNA from 1 species